AACAAUGAGAAAGAACAUGUUAUGUUUGCCAGGAGUCUUUAGUCUGUGCGUUCAUGGGCUUUGUGACCUGACCUGACCACCACCCCCCCGAACCAGCCAAGCACUAUGAUUCAUAGAGACUAAUGCAGGAACUGCUAAAUCUCAUUUCUUUGCUGCCAGCAUAAAAUUUACAGUGGGACAAGGAAAAGAAGGCAUCAUAGACUUCACGUCAGGCUCUGAGCUGCUUAUAGCAAAAGCCAAGAACGGCCACCUCACUGUGGUUGCUCCACGUUUGAAUUCUCGAUGAUGGAAUUUCCCACCACGAGAAGGAGCCGUUUGGUUUCAUCAGGCAAAUGGCAGCUUCUGCUCUUGGCUGGACAUGAUUCUUUGCAGGCUUUUCAUUUUUGUUUUCUUCUUAACCUUUACCGCUACCAAAGAGCCACAAUUAAACAAAAACCAAAACCGAAACUAAACAACAGCAACAAAAUCACACACUCCCAAACCCGCACAUCUGCUUCUUGCCUCAGCACAUCUGCAGGUACCAAGGAAACAGCCGUCUCCUGCCUUUGCCCCGAGUGGCCACUGCCCGGAUCAGUUUGUUUCUGCAGCUGGACUCUGCGGUGCUGUGAACCGGGCUGGGGGGAAGGACAGUGUUGCCUUCAGCAGUUUUCUGGUCUGUUAGCAUUGCUAGGCAACCACCGAGGUGAUGCCAAACUGUAUUCAGAAAGAAUGUUUUAUGAAGAGCUUUGCUCUGAAACCAUUUGAUGCUUAUUAAGAAUAUUAAACCAUACUGUGUACCGGG